AUGAUUAAGGUAUUUUGAAUGGAUGACGAAUACUCAGAUAGGCGAGUAAGACAACUCGUAUCCUAAUAGUCGGGAAAGGGAAUAGAAGACUCUAGCCCACUUUCUCUUUCAUCUGAGUGAUUAUGAAAACAGGUUCGUGUAUGCUUGAUGAUUUUAUAAACGAAAAAUACUCGAAUGGCUGAAUAAGACAACUCAUAUCCAAGCAUUUUGAG
rnacentral:lncRNA from 1 species